rnacentral:rRNA from 1 species
GACGAACGCUGGCGGCGUGCUUAACACAUGCAAGUCGAGCGGUAAGGCCCUUUCGGGGGUACACGAGCGGCGAACGGGUGAGUAACACGUGGGUGACCUGCCCUCAGCUCUGGGAUAAGCCUGGGAAACCGGGUCUAAUACUGGAUAUGACUCCAUGACGCAUGUUGUGGGGUGGAAAGCCUUGUGCGGCUGAGGAUGGGCCCGCGGCCUAUCAGCUUGUUGGUGGGGUGANGGCCUACCAAGGCGACGACGGGUAGCCGGCCUGAGAGGGCGACCGGCCACACUGGGACUGAGACACGGCCCAGACUCCUACGGGAGGCAGCAGUGGGGAAUCUUGCGCAAUGGGACGAAAGCCCUGACGCAGCGACGCCGCGUGAGGGAUGACGGCCUGGUU